GCUACCGAAAAAGGCUUCGAGAAGGAGCCGC
rnacentral:sRNA from 1 species